rnacentral:lncRNA from 1 species
CUAACUUCCUCACUCUUACUUUUCUCUCUCCUUGCCCUCUCUACUUUCAGUAUAUAAACCACACUUGCUUCCCCUCACUAUCCCCACUUCUCCUCCAUUUUCUAGACCGGAAACAUCCAACGGCCACUACCAGUUUCUGUAUCUCCACAACAAAAAUGAGUUCGGCAUCUUCUCUAUACUACGCUGGAUGUAAGGAUAACUACUAUCAAUCCCAUUUUCUUGAUUCUUGCUUUCUUUGCAACAGACCACUUGGCCACAACAGUGACAUCUUCAUGUACAGGUUAGCAAAGAAUUUAAUAAACUGUUGAAGACUCAUUAUUUUGUGCUUAAAACUCUUGUUAGCAAGCUAUACUAAACAAGAAUUUAACCUUUUUUUCUUCAGUAGUGUCGCGUAUUUAUGGAUGGUUCGAUUUCGCUUUCGGGACUUGAAAAAGUAUCUGAUAUGAAUUGAAAUAUUGCGUUGCAGAGGGAAUACACCAUUUUGUAGCCAAGAGUGCAGGCAAGAGCAGAUAAAAACAGAUGAAGCCAACGAAAAAAGAUGGAAAAUUUCUUCCUCAUCAAAGAAAAGCAAUCACUCCACCACAGCUAAAGAAAAUGAUGCCAAGAAACCUGUACGGACAGGAACAGUUGCAGUUUCUUAAAUACAAAAUAUUAACAAGAAAAUAAUUAGUAAUGUUCUAAUAUCCAAGGUAUCUGGUGCAGCUGUAAACAGAUGGAGCCAUGGAGGCAGGCACCAGAACAAGAGAGAGUCCAUGUCCCAUGGCUAUCAGUAUCACACAAUUUUGAUCUUUCUUUAUAUAAUAAUUAUUAAUGGCCUUUUGAUGCUUAUAUAAAUCAGUGGCCUUUAAUUGGGAUGCCAUCAACUAUAAGGUCUUUGUAACGAUGUUUUUAUCUGAAUGAUAAUCUGAGAAAAUGAAGGCACAAAUCAUAAGAUUUUUGCACCUAACUAUUUAUUUGUUGGAAUCAUGUUACUAUCAAAAUAAAAUUACAAGUUU